AGAGUUUGAUCCUGGCUCAGGACGAACGCUGACGGUGUGNUUUAGACAUGCNAGUCGAACGAGAAAGCCCUUCGGGGUGAGUACAGUGGCGAACGGGUGAGUAACACGUGGGUAACCUGCCCCUCGCAGGGGGACAACCGGGGGAAACCCCGGCUAAUACCCCGUACGCUUGCCGGGCCGCAUGACUCGGCAAGGAAAGGUAGCUUCGGCCAUCCGGCGAGGGAUGGGCCCGCGGUCCAUUAGCUAGUUGGUGGGGUAACGGCCCACCAAGGCGACGAUGGAUAGCUGGUCUGAGAGGAUGAUCAGCCACACUGGGACUGAGACACGGCCCAGACUCCUACGGGAGGCAGCAGUCGGGAAUCUUGCGCAAUGGGCGAAAGCCUGACGCAGCAACWCCGUGUGGGCGAUGAAGGCCUUCGGGUCGUAAAGCCCUGUUGUUGGGGACGAAGGGCGAAGGGUUAAUAGCCCCUAGCCUGACGGUACCCUUCGAGGAAGCCCCGGCUAACUACGUGCCAGCAGCCGCGGUAAUACGUAGGGGGCGAGCGUUGUCCGGAAUUAUUGGGCGUAAAGAGCGUGUAGGCGGUUCGGUAAGUCUGCCGUGAAACCCCGGGGCUCAACCCCGGGCGUGCGGUGGAUACUGCCGGGCUAGAGGGUGGUAGAGGCGAGUGGAAUUCCCGGUGUAGCGGUGAAAUGCGCAGAUAUCGGGAGGAACACCAGUAGCGAAGGCGGCUCGCUGGGCCAUUCCUGACGCUGAGACGCGAAAGCUAGGGGAGCGAACAGGAUUAGAUACCCCGGUAGUCC
rnacentral:rRNA from 1 species